rnacentral:lncRNA from 1 species
AUCAUGUUUUUGAUAGGUUGGAGAACAAUGCUUGUUGUACCUGAGCUUGAGAGGUAGGUUGAAUUUCUCUGGGAAUUAAUGGAUACCCGAAAGGUACAAAUAUAGCUUCUGGUUUGACUUAUUUUCUACUACCCUAAAUGAUAUUAAAUGUUUAUAGCAUUCUAGAGAAGUUAAGGCCAUUUCAUUUGUAAACAGUGUUCCUAUUUCACUGUUCAUGAUUUGGCAGUUUUGCUGUCAACUCUGAAAGUUCAUAAUUGAUUCUGUUUAGCAACUUCAGUUAUUGAGGAAUGAGUGUGAUCACGUCAAAGACAACGUACAUCAGAGAAGUGGUUUCUCAGGUAAUCUUCCCUUUUUUACUGCACAGAAUUCUAUUUCAGAUAAGGAUAUUCCCUCACUUGUCAUAAACUCAUAGCCGUUAUGGAAAUACAAAUUGUCAAGGGAUUUCAGAUUCUUCUGCGGCAAUCCCACACACAUAUGUAGUAUUCAUUAUUCUAGUAUUAGAAGAGAAUGAAAGAAGUUUAAGAAAGUUACCAUCUCUGCUGAAUUUUACCAAUUUUUGGAGUUCUUUUGUCUGACAAAUCCAUAUUGUGUAUAACUUGAGAGAACAUCGUGUCAGUGUGUUCCUUAUCAAACAAUCCUUGUUCAGGUUCGAUGGUGUGAAUGUUGAGAGCAAGGAAGAGCUAAUGGCUGAGCUUGACAAAAUGCAGGUUGGUGUAAUUUAUUGAGCAUGAAAAUUUAAGAUAAAAAUUCUUUUGGAAGAGAGUGUUGGAAAAAUUGGUUUUAAUUAGUUGGUUUGACCAACUUUUGACCAAAUAAUUUAGUGGGUCCCGUUAAUCGAAAAUAAGAUUUCUUUGGUCGAAUGUGUUCUACUCCAUGAGUAGAUUAAUAUGGUAUGUUUAUUUUCUCAAAACCAAUUUAGGGUGAAUGAGAAAUUAAGGUCAAAAGAUGCCCAUUUGAUGUGGAAAUAAAAUAGGUGGGAAAUUGGAAAAUACCAAUCCCACAUAGGAAGACUAGAAGAAUAUAAAUCACCUUAUAUAGCUCAAGUUUGAGACUUGGGUUUGGGCUCCAAGGGAUACCAAUAGUCUUUGAGGGGGAGAGAACCUACAUGCUAGUAGGUUAAGCCAAAGCCCAUACGCCCGCGCUGCCGUUAUUCCGACCGGCCGGCUCAGCUCUGCACGGCAUGGUUUUGGGCUUGGGCUUGGGCCAAGCUGAUAUAUAUUUUUUGGUAAAAUAACAUUUAAUUAUAUUAUUUUAUUAUUAUAAUAAUAAUAUAUUUUAUGUUAUUAAUUUUUUUUUCUUCCCCGAAUUUUCUGUAUGUGACAUGUGGUACGGUGCUUUUAGAAUUUAGCGGGUUGUGGCGGUUGACGGUCCAAGUGGCGGUUGAUUGUCCAAACUGUUUGUCUUUUGGACACAACUUUUCGACAGUUGUGUCUGUUGGGACACAACCUUUCAACAUCUAUAAAUAGGCCCCCAUACCCUGGUUUUUAUUCAUUCCAAAAAUCAGAAUUGAUUUUCUACUCUCCCGAAAUUAUCCCUUUGUCCCUGCAUAAUUUUUGUUCUUAUAAUUCAGUUCUCGAAAAUUACUUUUCGUGCAUUUCACUCAUCCAGUGUGUGUGAAGAGAUCUAAACUUUACGGGUUCGUCGGGUCUUGUAAUUUGGAGUACUACUAUUACAAGACGAGGUUGUUGUAUCUUGGGAAACGAGUGUUGCAAUACCGUUAGUACCAGUGCGGGGCAUUAUCGUUUUAAGGAGAAAGAGUCGAACUCUUGUCUCGACCGUUCAAAACCAUCCAAACGUCGUUACUCUGCCCAAAUAUAAAUUACGGUAACACUAUUAUUUGCUAUUAUUUUUCAACAGAGAGGAUUUUAGAUUUCUAGUGAAUUGAUUAUUCCCAUUUUUGGCAAAGUUUAUAAAUCAAUACAUAAAUGGUCAAGCUUCAUAUUCGAUCACACAUUCCAAUGGAUUCACAAGUAUUUCCACUUAUGUAUCACUCAUUUCUUUCUAUCUAUAAAUUAAAUAAAUACUUCCCAAAUAGAGGUGAUAUGAGGGAGGUAUCAUCAGUUCUCUAGUUUUAAAUGCGAAUACAUUUACGAUGUAGAUGUGUGACAACAAAGUUAUUAACAGGAACUUUGCUUCAUAACAAAUAAUUCAAUCCAAAAACUGUGGCUUGAUGUUGUGUGUUUUCCAUUUCUUGUAAUGUUAACUUCUUAAUUGUAAUCUUCCUUUCACCUUUAUUUGUUAAAUUGUGCUUCGUACUCUAGCAUGUUGUAACAGCUUGAAGAUAAUAUAAAUAGAUGCUUGCAUUGCUUGGUUCAUUUUAGCAGCUUUGGAUUCUUGAAAUAUAAUUUCCCUGAAUUACAAGUUUACGUUUUUAUGCAUGUUUUGAUGAUAACUUAAAACUUGCAGUCUCAUAGAGAGAAAGUGCUAUUUACUCAUCAACAAGCUCAGCUAGAAUGUCAUCAAAAGGUGUGAAAUGGCACGAUUCUUCCUUGACCAUUUAAGCUCAAUAAUAAUGCAUUCAUAUAUAGUAGUUGACUUUAGUAUUGAAAUGGCAUGUUUGUAAGAGAAAUUCUACAUCAUUAAAGAAAAAGCAGAAGUUAAAAGUCAAUUUUAUUUUUCUCCAUCUCUAUCCAAUACAUUGUACCAAACAUGCAAUAAGUGAUCAAUACUCACUGCAAGAAUUUAAAUGUUAUGCUUUCAUUGAAUAUAUUCUGUUCCAUAAGAUCUGGGGACAACCGAUGAAGACUGGGUAUCAGAAUUCUAGCUUUGCUCAUCAAGAAAGAUCAAAGAUUUUCAUCCAUGAAGAGAAUUGUCAUGAGUUUGCGGUUUGUAUUUAAUGUUGUGUGAUUUUUGUUUUACAUUCUGAAGGUGGAGAGGUUUGCUUGCCUUUAUUCUGGCCCUUGAGAGGUCAAUUUGAGCUUGUACUCGCUGGACAAAUACUGUAGGCCAAGUGAAGAUUUCAUGCCCCACGAAGUCGAUAUAUUUGGUCUUUGAAAACACCUUUUGUCAAACUUUGUGUUGAGACAUUUUGAGGAUUUUUUUUAAUUAUUUAUUUUAUUUAUUUAUUUUUUCGAAAAAUAUGAAAUGAAGUUGUGUGUUGAAACAUUUUGUUGGACAUCGUGGUUCUUCUAAAAUAAUUAUUAUGUUUUGUUUGCUGUAAUUAUGUGCGGCAUGUUGUUUAAAAUCAGAAUCGACUGAAUAUUUGUUUCAUGUUUUGUAGAGCCAAAUUGUUCUGUGACUAAGAGAAAUUUUUGAACAUAAU